rnacentral:snRNA from 1 species
AUCGCUUCUCAGCCUUUUGGCUAAGAUCAAGUGUAGUAUCUGUUCUUAUCAGUUUAAUAAUAUGAAGAACAGUCAUUACCAUGGCAUUCCCAAGGAAUGGGACAAAGAGAUUGCAACAGUU